rnacentral:rRNA from 1 species
UACGUAGGGUGCAAGCGUUGUCCGGAAUUAUUGGGCGUAAAGAGCUCGUAGGCGGUUUGUUGCGUCGGCUGUGAAAUCCCGAGGCUCAACCUCGGGUCUGCAGUCGAUACGAGCAAACUAGAGUGUUGCAGGGGAGACUGGAAUUCCUGGUGUAGCGGUGAAAUGCGCAGAUAUCAGGGAGGGAAACACCCGGGUGGGCGAAAGGGCGG